CCUACGGGCGGCAGCAGUGAGGAAUAUUGGUCAAUGGACGAGAGUCUGAACCAGCCAAGUAGCGUGAAGGAUGACUGCCCUAUGGGGUGUAAACUUCUUUUAUAAAGGAAUAAAACGAGGCACGUGUGCCUUUUUGUAUGUACUUUAUGAAUAAGGAUCGGCUAAGUCCGUGCCAGCAGCCGCGGUAAUACAGAGGAUCCGAGCGUUAUCCGGAUUUAUUGGGUUUAAAGGGAGCGUAGAUGGGUUGUUAAGUCAGUUGUGAAAGUUUGCGGCUCAACCGUAAAAUUGCAAUUGAUACUGGCAGUCUUGAGUACAGUUGAGGUAGGCGGAAUUCGUGGUGUAGCGGUGAAAUGCUUAGAUAUCACGAAGAACCCCGAUUGCGAAGGCAGCUUACUAAACUGUGACUGACAUUGAUGCUCGAAAGUGUGGGUAUCAAACAGGAUUAGAUACCCCAGUAGUC
rnacentral:rRNA from 1 species